UGUGUCCCUGGUCUUCCCGCAGCCCCUCCACAU
rnacentral:piRNA from 1 species